AACGAACGCUGGCGGCAGGCCUAACACAUGCAAGUCGAGCGCGCCCUUCGGGGUGAGCGGCGGACGGGUGAGUAACGCGUGGGAACGUGCCCUUUUCUACGGAAUAGCCUCGGGAAACUGAGAGUAAUACCGUAUACGCCCUUUGGGGGAAAGAUUUAUCGGAAAAGGAUCGGCCCGCGUUGGAUUAGGUAGUUGGUGGGGUAAUGGCCUACCAAGCCGACGAUCCAUAGCUGGUUUGAGAGGAUGAUCAGCCACACUGGGACUGAGACACGGCCCAGACUCCUACGGGAGGCAGCAGUGGGGAAUCGUAGACAAUGGGGGCAACCCUGAUCUAGCCAUGCCGCGUGAGUGAUGAAGGCCUUAGGGUUGUAAAGCUCUUUCAGCUGGGAAGAUAAUGACGGUACCAGCAGAAGAAGCCCCGGCUAACUCCGUG
rnacentral:rRNA from 1 species